GAUGAACGCUGGCGGCGUGCCUAAUACAUGCAAGUCGAGCGAACGGACGAGAAGCUUGCUUCUCUGAUGUUAGCGGCGGACGGGUGAGUAACACGUGGAUAACCUACCUAUAAGACUGGGAUAACUUCGGGAAACCGGAGCUAAUACCGGAUAAUAUUUUGAACCGCAUGGUUCAAAAGUGAAAGACGGUCUUGCUGUCACUUAUAGAUGGAUCCGCGCUGCAUUAGCUAGUUGGUAAGGUAACGGCUUACCAAGGCAACGAUGCAUAGCCGACCUGAGAGGCGGAUCGGCCACCCUGGAACGUAGACACGGUCCAGACUCCUACGGGAGGCAGCAGUAGGGAAUCUUCCGCAAUGGGCGAAAGCCUGACGGAGCAACGCCGCGUGAGUGAUGAAGGUCUUCGGAUCGUAAAACUCUGUUAUUAGGGAAGAACAGAUGUGUAAGUAACUGUGCACAUCUUGACGGUACCUAAUCAGAAAGCCACGGCUAACUACGUG
rnacentral:rRNA from 1 species